rnacentral:rRNA from 1 species
GAUGAACGCUGGCGGCGUGCCUAAUACAUGCAAGUCGAGCGAACAGACGAGGAGCUUGCUCCUUUGACGUUAGCGGCGGACGGGUGAGUAACACGUGGGUAACCUCCCUAUAAGACGGGGAUAACUUCGGGAAACCGGGGCUAAUACCGGAAAAUAUUUCGAACCGCAUGGUUCGAUAGUGAAAGAGGGCUUUGCUAUCCCUUAUAGAUGGACCUGCGCCGUAUUAGCUAGUUGGUAAGGUAACGGCUUACCAAGGCAACGAUACGUAGCCGACCUGAGAGGGUGAUCGGCCACACUGGAACUGAGACACGGUCCAGACUCCUACGGGAGGCAGCAGUAGGGAAUCUUCCGCAAUGGGCGAAAGCCUGACGGAGCAACGCCGCGUGAGUGAUGAAGGUCUUCGGAUCGUAAAACUCUGUUAUUAGGGAAGAACAAACGUGUAAGUAACUGUGCACGUCUUGACGGUACCUAAUCAGAAAGCCACGGCUAACUACGUG